GCGGAAGUGGCGAAAUUGGCAGACGCACCAUCUUGAGAGGUGGCGCCCAUUGGGUGUACGGGUUCAAGUCCGUCUUCCGCACCA
rnacentral:tRNA from 1 species